CCUACGGGGGUCAUCCUUCUUUCCUCUUUCUCCCUUUUGUCCCCCCUGCCGCCGCCACGCCGCGUGGAGGAUGAAGGUUUUAGGAUUGUAAACUCCUUUUGUGAGAGAAGAUAAUGACGGUAUCUCACGAAUAAGCACCGGCUAACUCCGUGCCAGCAGCCGCGGUAAUACGGAGGGUGCAAGCGUUACUCGGAAUCACUGGGCGUAAAGAGUGCGCAGGCGGGCUUGUAAGUCAGAUGUGAAAUCCUGUAGCUUAACUACAGAACUGCAUUUGAAACUAUGAGUCUAGAGUGUGGGAGAGGUAGGUGGAAUUCUUGGUGUAGGGGUAAAAUCCGUAGAUAUCAAGAGGAAUACUCAUUGCGAAGGCGACCUACUGGAACAUUACUGACGCUCAUGCACGAAAGCGUGGGGAGCAAACAGGAUUAGAUACCCGUGUAGUC
rnacentral:rRNA from 1 species